rnacentral:rRNA from 1 species
UGGGGGAUAUUGCACAAUGGGCGAAAGCCUGAUGCAGCGACGCCGCGUGUGGGAUGAAGGCCUUCGGGUUGUAAACUUCUUUUGCUCUGAACAAGGCAUGCCUUUGGGGUGUGUUGAGUGUAGGGGUUGAUUAGCGCCGGCUAACUACGUGCCAGCAGCCGCGGUAAUACGUAGGGCGCGAGCGUUGUCCGGAAUUAUUGGGCGUAAAGGGCUUGUAGGUGGCUGGUUGCGUCUGUCGUGAAAGCUCAUGGCUUAACUGUGGGUUUGCGGUGGGUACGGGCUGGCUUGAGUGCAGUAGGGGAGGCUGGAAUUCCUGGUGUAGCGGUGGAAUGCGCAGAUAUCAGGAGGAAUACCGGUGGCGAAGGCGGGUCUCUGGGCUGUUACUGACGCUGAGGAGCGAAAGCGUGGGGAGCGAACAGG